rnacentral:rRNA from 1 species
AUUGAACGCUGGCGGCAGGCCUAACACAUGCAAGUCGAGCGGAGCGGCGGACGGGUGAGUAAUGCCUAGGAAUCUGCCUGGUAGUGGGGGAUAACGUCAGGAAACGGGCGCUAAUACCGCAUAAUAUCAGAUGAGACUAGGGCGGAUUGGCUAGUUGGUGGGGUAAAGGCCUACCAAGGCGACGAUCCGUAACUGGUCUGAGAGGAUGAUCAGUCACACUGGAACUAGGACACGGUGCAGACUCCUACGGUAGGCAGCAGUGGGGAAUAUUGCACAAUGGGCGCAAGCCUGAUGCAGCCAUGCCGCGUGUAUGAAGAAGGCCUUCGGGUUGUAAAGUACUUUCAGCGAGGAGGCGUUACUCGCAGAAGAAGCACCGGCUAACUCCGUGCCAGCAGCCGCGGUAAUUC